ACAUAUUUGUGCAUGUCUCAAAUUUUGAAUUAUGUUUCUGUGUAUGUCACAAGUUUUGAAUUCUCCUUUACGACUGAUAAGUGGGCUACGCGGCCUGUGCGAGUCAGCUGAAUUUUGUUGCAACGCUCUUCCGUUUGGUAUACUGAUGCAUGGUGCACGUUUAUUUCUGUACUGUUUUAAAAACCCUUUGUUUAUUU
rnacentral:lncRNA from 1 species